UUUUUUUUUUUUUUUUUGAGACAAGUCUCACUGUCACCCAGAUUGGAGUGCAGUGGCGGCAACCUCUGUCUCCCAGGUUCAAGUGUUUCUCCGGUCUCAGCCUCCUGAGUAGCCAGGACUACAGGCAUGCACCGCCACCCCCGGCUGAUUUUUAUAUUUUUAGUAGAGACAGGGUUUCAGUAUGUUGGCCAGACUGGUCUUGAACACCUGACUUCAAGUGACCCGCCUGCCUCGGCCUCCCAAAGUGGUGGGAUUACAAGCAUGAGCCACUCUGUGCCUGGCCAUUCUAGGCAUUCUUAAUUGUGCAAGUCUGAGGUAGGUGGUAGGGUCUGUGUCCUCCGAAUCAAGAGUAGGAUACUUGAGGGUAAUACACAGAAUAAUUAUUGUUUUGGAGCAUGCAGAUACAAUUUUAAAAGUCACCUUGAUGUAUGAGUCAUUCUUGAAACUCUCAAUUAGUGGAGUUUUUUUUUCCAGGCAGGUUAGGGUAGACGCCAAAUGGACAGGAUGUUUUGGUUAUGUGUUGCCUUUUUUUAAAAGAUCAAUACCUCUGAAUUAAAGUUGUGUAGGGACCUAAGUGCUCAUUUUCUGUAGAGUUUUAAAUAACAUCUGCAAAUCUCCAUUAUUUUUCUUAAAGGUAUUUGUCCUUUAGGAGUAGAAAGUAAUUGUUGUAAAUGUAACUAACCUGAACUUCACCCUUGGGAAUUUAAUGACCUUAUUUUUACCGGUCGUGGUUCACACUGAAUUUUCUCUCACUUCUUGUUCCUCAUUCUGUCCAUGCAACCUAUCCUUUUUGGGCCGUUUUUAUUUCUUGCUCCUUACCUGUAUGGCAGCCUCCCUGUUCCUCACUACAAGGGUGAGUAGGUGGGGGUGGAGAAGAAGAGCUCCAUAGUGUGAACAUACAUAGAUGUGAAAAUUCGCAGGCUACAAACUCUGUGCCUGAUGGAACCCCACAAGUGUUCAUUCACUCAGCCUCUUUACGCAUGUUUUAGAUAAGAUGCUCCUGGUUAUUAUACUAGAUUUCUGGAAAAGCCAAAUGAGAAGGAGCUGGCAAUGAAGGCCGGCGGUAGAUACACUGAUUGCAACAAGGAAUAAUAGCUGCCAUUUAUUGGGUGACCCUGAAAAUUAUAACAGGACCUUUAAAACCAAGGCCACUUGGGGCCAUUUAGUGAAGGGACAAGGCUCUCUGUUCCUUUUAUGUCAGUAUAGUGCAAUUUAAAAAAUAGUUAAGAUGACUCUGGGCGUCCAGAAAAGGUAAAUCUGACAUCAGUUUUUCAAAGAAGACAGAGAAAUGUGCGAUCUGUUUUUGAGUCAGUUAUCUGGAAAAUUUCCCAAGCAAGGGUUGAAGAGUGGAGAUUUCUUUUACUAAGGAAGCUAGCUUAAAAGAUUUGUUUUAAUGGAAACAGUUAAAUAGUUGAUGACUAAGUUUUUCUUUAGCAAUUACUUUUACGAUAUGAUGUGGUUGAAAAUAACCUCCAAAUAUUCUGGAGUUUCUUUUACAUGUAAUAGUGACAUUUGUUUUUCAUGGUAAUUGAAAAUGUUUCACAUUUAACUUCUGUAAUGAAUACAGUUUUAAUUUAUUUUAGAUUUGAAAUGUCAGUGACUUGGGAAGGGUCCAGAGUGUGUAGCUUUUACUUUACCUUUGACUUUGUUGUUGUUGUGGAGAU
rnacentral:lncRNA from 1 species